rnacentral:rRNA from 1 species
CGUGGGUACACUUGCUGAAGCCUUAGCAGCCCGAAAGGGUGCCCCUUGACGACUAUAAACAACCAGAGGGUCUGAAAUGCUAGUCCCUUCUCUGAUAGGGAAGGAGGCAACACUGUCAAAUUGCGGGAACCCCCUAAAGACCUUGACACCAAGCGCCUACUGGAAACAGUGGCGUGGCCGAGUUAAUUGCCCUGGGUAUGGUAAAAGUUCAAGGUAUGAGCUCAAGUAAUUGGGUGAAAUGGGCAAUCUGCAGCCAAAUCCUAAAGCCCUCCUCCUUAUGGGGAGGGGAGCUAUGGAUGCUGUUCACAGGCCAAAUGGCAGUGGGUGAAAGGAAAAAGACAAUUCCUUUUGCUUAAGAUAUGGUCGGUCCCCCAGUGAAAAUUGGGGGGUUUAAGUUUACUCAAACAAACGUUCCGUAGGUGAACCUGCGGAAGGAUCAUUACCGAGUUAGGGUCUUCCAUGGCCCAACCUCAAACCCCUUGUGUACUACCAAGCGUUUUAUUGUUGCUUUGGUGGGCCAAAAAUGCCUGCCAAAGCCCAACCAAAAAAUCUUUAGCAAUAAUGUCGUCUGAGUUAUCAAAGUAAUAAUUAAAACUUUCAACAACGGAUCUCUUGGUUCCCGCAUCGAUGAAGAACGCAGCGAAAUGCGAUAAGUAAUGUGAAUUGCAGAAUUCAGUGAAUCAUCGAAUCUUUGAACGCACAUUGCGCCCUUUGGCAUUCCGAAGGGCAUGCCUGUUCGAGCGUCAUGAUCAAACCUCAAGCCUUGCUUGGUAUUGGGUUUUCGUCUUCCCCGUGGAUUGUUUUGAAUACAAUAUUACGGGUACUGGCGUGCCUGAAAUUCAUUAGCGGUGUCUCAAUAGACUCAAGCGUAGCAGACUGACUCGCUUUGGAGAACUUUUGUGGGCACUGUCAAUAAAAUAGUUAAAUUGGACCUC